CUAAGGUAAGGUUUCAUGUAGGAUCUAGGUUAGGGCAUGGUUUUAUGCCAUAAAUCUUUGGUUUUGACCUUCUUACAAGAUGGGAAACCUAGUAGAGACCAUGAAAACACAUGAAAAUUCAUGUUUCUUCAUAGUGCUCUCAUGGUGGAUUUCCGAUUGUGCUCAAAUUUGACAAUCCGGCUCGGUUUUAUCUAACUAGAAGAAAGAAAUUUAAAUCUUUCCGUUACGACCAUGUUUGACCACCGAAAGCUCUACCGAACUGUAAUCUCUAGCAAAUAGCAGUCGGAUUUUAUUUUCCACCUUCCGGGUGUCAGAUCGACAUGAAACUUUAAAACUAGCAUCAUAAAAAUAUUUCCGACAUAAAUCCAAGUUUUCAUAAUUUUCUGACACUGUGCAUUUUUUGCUAAAAUAACAGCCUCGAUUCACACAAAAAAUUCAAAAUCUUCUGUUCUCGCUCCGAUUUCCGCACGAGUUGUUCUCGACUUAUAUUUUACUUCUAUAAGUCUAAUAAAAAUAGUAUCUCACACUAUUUUUAUUUAUUUUUAUCCUUUUAUUAAAAUCCGGUAUACUACAUUCUCCAUUCCUUAAAAAGAGUUUCGUCCUCGAAACUUCAAUCACACCUCAACUCGACCUAUCGAGCCAUUGA
rnacentral:lncRNA from 1 species